CGAAACUGAAGUAAAGUGUUUGCCUGCAGCGCUCCCCCCGGCCGCUCAGUGCUGUCAGCCGGCGCUUUGGGCUGGACUACUGGAACACCUGCAGUGAGGUCUCCAUCAGCCCCAAGGCUUGUCCUUGUGCCACAGGCUGGCACCAGCUCCUCCCUGGGAUUCCUCUCCCUGCCCUUGCCACAAGGAAAGGGUCCCCAUCCAGGCUCUCCACCUCUCUGAGGAUCAGGCAGGUUUCCUCUGCCCUUCUCUUAAAAACAGGUGAUAAAUGCAGAAUGCACAAAGCCAAACGUAGUAGGUGCCUUGGCAGCAGAUGCCUGCCUUCAGUCUCACCACUGGGCUGGAAAACGUGAAUUCAUCGUCACAGUAAUGCUGCUAAGUGUCCUGGUGGCAGAUAUGAGGGAAGAGUUUUGCAGGGCGUGCUGUUGUGUUUACUGGCUACCUGGGGAGAAGCCUGUUUGCCUGAAAGCUGGUCUGUCAACCCAAGAGAACCAACCCCACCAAGAACAAAUGUUCACUGCAGCUGUCUGUAAGGAAAGUUUCUCCUGCGGUGACCUCCUUGGAAAACAGCAUAGAGGAAAUGGAGUUCUGUUUUGCCUACACGAGGUGAGAUCUGGACGCUGCAGAGUGUGAGCACCACAAUGGCUGAAUUUGCAAGACCUGGUGAAAAAGUGGCUUAGGUGAGUAGGCUGGAGAUGUGUUUGGAGGACUGUGAUGCAUGGGGCUGUGGUAAGUGGGAAAUGCCAUGAACUCCUUGUCAGGAGGGUGAAGCUGCAGGAGGGGAAGGUGUGGGAGCUGACCACACAGCAGGGAGGAACAAUUGAGAAGUCCUUCAAGGUCAGUGUGAACAGUCAGAGAUCUCAAGGAUGUGCUGUAAUUCUUAUGUAAAUGCAGGUGUGGGGGAUGCACCAAAGGCUUCAGCCUG
rnacentral:lncRNA from 1 species